AAAUAAAAAACACAAGAAACAACAAAUUUUAGUGAGGAUAUGGAGACAUAAUAACUUAUGCUCUGCUGGCGGGAAUGCAAACUGGUACAGCCACUGAGGAAAAUGGUAUGGAGGUUCCUCAAAAAAUUAAAAAUAAAACUACCGUAUGAUCCAGUAAUUGCACUUCUGGGUAUUUAACCAAAAAUUACAAAAACACUAAUUCAAAGGGAUACAUGCACGUCUAUGUAGCAUUAUUUACCAUAGCCAAGUUAUGGAAAGCAGCCUACCAGUCCAUUGGUAGGUGGAUGGAUAAAAUAUAGGUGGUAUAUAUAAACAAUGGGAUAUUAUUCAGCCAUAAAAAAACGAAAUCCUGCCACCUGCAACAACAUUAGAGUACAAUGCUAAGCAAAGUAAGUCAGUCAGUGAAAGACAAAUACCAGGUGAUUUCACUUAUAUGUGGAAUUUAAGAAACAAACAAAAAAAAUGAGCAAAGGGGAGAGAGAGAGUCAAGAAACAGACAUUUAUUAUAGGGAACAAACUAUAGUUGUCCCCCAGAGGGGACAAGGGGUGGAAUGAUGGGUGAAAUGGGUGAGUUCAUCAAAAUUUAAAAAUUAAAAAUUCUGGUCUUCAGAGAUAGAACAGAAUGAAGACAAGCCACAGCCUGGGAGAAAUUUGCUAAACACCUGAGAGAAAAGACUUUUUCCAGAAUAUAUAAUAUACUCUUAAAACUCAAUAGUAUGUAUCCAACUGAAUGAUGGAUUUGGAGGCACCAGGGUGGCUCAGUUGGCUGCGUGUCUGACUCUUGAUUUUGGCUCAGGUUAUGGUCUCAGGGUUGUGGGAUUGAGCCCCAAAUCAGGCUCCAAGCUUGGUGAGGAAUCUGAGAUUCUCUCUCUCCCUCUCUGACUGCCUAUACCCCCCACCCCCCACCACAUUUGGUCUCUCUCUCUCUCUGUCUGAGAUAAAUAAAUCUUUAAGAAAAAAAUAAAAGGAAAAGAGAUUUCAAUAGACACAUCAUUUAAAAAGAUAUUGGUACAUGAAUAGACACUCAACAUCAUGAGCUAUUAGAGAAAUGCAAAUUAAAGAUACAAAGUCUAGGGAUCCCUGGGUGGCGCAGCGGUUUAGCGCCUGCCUUUGGCCCAGGGCGCGAUCCUGGAGACCCGGGAUCGAAUCCCACGUCGGGCUCCCGGUGCAUGGAGCCUGCUUCUCCCUCUGCCUAUGUCUCUGCCUCUCUCUCUCUCUCUCUCUCUCUGUGACUAUCAUAAAUAAAAUUUUAAAAAAAGAUACAAAGUUUGAAAAAUUUUUUUAACUGAAAUAUAAAGAUGUCAUACACUGCCGCUUGGAAUGCAAAAUGGUACAUCCACUUUAUUUUUUUUAAAGCUUUUAUUCAUUUAUUA
rnacentral:lncRNA from 1 species